GACAGAGGGUGCAAACGUUGCUCGGAAUUACUGGGCGUAAAGCGCAUGUAGGCGGCUCUGUAAGUCGGAUGUGAAAGCCCUCGGCUUAACCGGGGAAGUGCAUUCGAUACUGCAGAGCUAGAGUAUCGGAGAGGGUCGUGGAAUUCCUGGUGUAGAGGUGAAAUUCGUAGAGAUCGGGAGGAACACCAGAGGCGAAGGCGGCUCGCUGGACGAUGACUGACACUCAACUGCGAAAGCGUGGGGAGCAAACAGG
rnacentral:rRNA from 1 species